AUGGAAGUUAAUGAGAAAUGUUAGACUGUUGUCACGUCACAGUGUGGGAGGAGAUGUUUCAUGAAGCUAAUCACACUGAAAACCAUGGAGGGAACACCUAAAAGUUUUAAAUGGGGUAAGAAUACAGCUUACCUCCCUGCAAACGUGAUUUCUGUAUUUGUUUGUGGAACCCAAAUUCCGCGUGCAGCAACAAUUCUGAGAGCUUUGUUAGCUUGGUCCUGACACCAUGAGUAGCCCAAACAGAUGUGACUAAGGUGCAGCACCUGUUUGCUGAAUUUGCUAGAGGUGUUGAUAUCGGCCACGUGUAUGCUGGAGUGUCUGCUGGGGUACCACCAUCUGUACCAGUGUCAAAAGGAGCUCCUGACUCUAUGCCAGCUGUGUGCAUGAACAGGAAGACGUGUCUCCAUAUCCUCUGUCUUCAUGCUUUCAUCACCCCAAGGAAAGGAAGGGACAGGUACUACGCUGAGAAAGCUGUCAUUAAAGUGGAGUGGAGUGAAAGAAACGAUAAGGAAGAAGGAGGGAGAAAGAGUGAAGCUGGAACAAGGCCUUGGAAUAAAAUCUUGUUGGACAAGGAACCUGCAACAUGGUAGCAUUUCCCUUAGAAGUCCUAGCGAAAAGCAGUAGGACUCACUCCAUUUGAACACGUAGGCUUUGGCACAAUGUGUAUGCUCUGGACUGCUGGACCCUAAAUGAAAACUCAGCUGUAUCUGCACUCCAUAUGGAAGUAUAGCAUUGGAGAUAUCCAGUAUGCUCAGUGCCGGGAAACACUGAGGCAUCUGAGCCUGAUGUACAGCCUAAAAAGCUUUCACAUGGUGUUUUUGAGUUAACCAGCAGCCUGAGUUAAAGUUGAGCCACAGUUUCAGAAAUACUUUGGAACGACAUUGGAUUCAAUGGGUAUUACGUUUUCUUGACCACCAUCAGCUUCAGACUCUCAUGCGUUCAGGAAGUUCCAUUAAUAUCCAUGAAAAACAUCCUUCCUCCCAGAUACAGUACUUGCCUCACGCUGCUUGUAUGCAACACUCAGGAAAUAAGAGUAUCUCCUCCGCAUGUACUGGCCAAGCUCGUACUGUUGCUGUAUGCCAAGCUGUGGAAGUAACAAAAUAGUGUAAGAGGUUCCAGAAGUGCGUUAUGCAUCUUCUUCUACAACCACAAGUUGAGAUGAUUUUUCAUAUUAUUCUGAUGGAGACCUUUUUCCUUUCUAAAGUGAAGGAGGACAGAAGACAGGUGAAAAAAGCAGUAAAGUUGCUGUGUCUGCAGUAUCAGAUAAUGAAAGAUAUGCCUUCCUGAUGCAGCUUUGCAUUUUCCUCUGUGGAAGGCAUGCUUACCCAAACUAGUAAGACUGGCUGAGGGGCAGGGGGACUUAACGCAGGCUUAUAGAUGUCUCAACACCGUCUGC